rnacentral:rRNA from 1 species
AGAGUUUGAUCCUGGCUCAGGAUGAACGCUGGCGGCGUGCUUAACACAUGCAAGUCGAACGAGCCUUCGGGCUAGUGGCGGACGGGUGAGUAACGCGUGAGAAUCUGCCCUCAGGAGGGGGAUAACGGCUGGAAACGGCCGCUAAUACCCCAUAUGCCGCGAGGUGAAAUGAGAAAUCGCCUGAGGAUGAGCUCGCGUCUGAUUAGCUAGUUGGUGGGGUAAGAGCCUACCAAGGCAUCGAUCAGUAGCUGGUCUGAGAGGAUGAUCAGCCACACUGGGACUGAGACACGGCCCAGACUCCUACGGGAGGCAGCAGUGGGGAAUUUUCCGCAAUGGGCGCAAGCCUGACGGAGCAACGCCGCGUGAGGGAUGAAGGCCUCUGGGCUGUAAACCUCUUUUCUCAAGGAAGAAGAACUGACGGUACUUGAGGAAUAAGCCACGGCUAAUUCCGUGCCAGCAGCCGCGGUAAUACGGGAGUGGCAAGCGUUAUCCGGAAUUAUUGGGCGUAAAGCGUCCGCAGGCGGUCUUGAAAGUCUGUUGUUAAAGCGUGGAGCUCAACUCCAUUUCAGCAAUGGAAACUAGAAGACUAGAGUGUGGUAGGGGCAGAGGGAAUUCCCGGUGUAGCGGUGAAAUGCGUAGAUAUCGGGAAGAACACCAGUGGCGAAGGCGCUCUGCUGGGCCAUAACUGACGCUCAUGGACGAAAGCCAGGGGAGCGAAAGGGAUUAGAUACCCCUGUAGUCCUGGCCGUAAACGAUGAACACUAGGUGUCGGGGGAAUCGACCCCCUCGGUGUCGUAGCCAACGCGUUAAGUGUUCCGCCUGGGGAGUACGCACGCAAGUGUGAAACUCAAAGGAAUUGACGGGGGCCCGCACAAGCGGUGGAGUAUGUGGUUUAAUUCGAUGCAACGCGAAGAACCUUACCAGGGUUUGACAUCCUGCGAAUCUUUUGGAAACAGAAGAGUGCCUUCGGGAGCGCAGAGACAGGUGGUGCAUGGCUGUCGUCAGCUCGUGUCGUGAGAUGUUGGGUUAAGUCCCGCAACGAGCGCAACCCACGUCUUUAGUUGCCAGCAUUGAGUUGGGCACUCUAGAGAGACCGCCGGUGAUAAACCGGAGGAAGGUGUGGAUGACGUCAAGUCAUCAUGCCCCUUACAUCCUGGGCUACACACGUACUACAAUGCUACGGACAGAGGGCAGCAAACUCGCGAGAGCUAGCAAAUCCCAUAAACCGUGGCUCAGUUCAGAUCGUAGGCUGCAACUCGCCUACGUGAAGGAGGAAUCGCUAGUAAUCGCAGGUCAGCAUACUGCGGUGAAUACGUUCCCGGGCCUUGUACACACCGCCCGUCACACCAUGGAAGUUGGCCAUGCCCGAAGUCGUUACUCCAACCCUUG